rnacentral:rRNA from 1 species
GAUAAACGCUGGCGGCGUGCCUAAUGCAUGCAAGUCGAACGGGGGAUGGAGCUUCGGUUCCAUCUCUAGUGGCGGACGGGUGAGUAACGCGUAAGUGACCCACCCCUGAGUGGGGGAUAAACCCCGAGAAAUCGGGGCUAAUACCGCAUGGAGUCCCUUUUGGGGAGCAAAGCCGAAAGGCGCUUGGGGAGGGGCUUGCGUCCGAUUAGCUAGUUGGCAGGGUAAGGGCCUACCAAGGCUGAGAUCGGUAGCUGGUCUGAGAGGAUGGUCAGCCACACUGGGACUGAGACACGGCCCAGACUCCUACGGGAGGCAGCAGCAGGGGAUAUUGCGCAAUGGGCGAAAGCCUGACGCGGCAACGCCGCGUGGGGGAAGAAGGCCUUUGGGUUGUAAACCCCUUUUCUCGGGGAAGAAGAACUGACGGUACCCGAGGAAUAAGUCUCGGCUAACUACGUG